ACCAGACUCCUACGGGAGGCAGCAGUGGGGGAUAUUGCACAAUGGGGGGAACCCUGAUGCAGCGACGCCGCGUGGGUGAAGAAGUAUUUCGGUAUGUAAAGCCCUAUCGGCAGGGAAGAAAUUGGACGGUACCUGACUAACAAGCCCCGGCUAACUACGUGCCAGCAGCCGCGGUAAUACGUAGGGGGCAAGCGUUAUCCGGAUUCACUGGGUGUAAAGGGAGCGUAGACGGCCAUGCAAGCCUGGAGUGAAAGCCCGGGGCCCAACCCCGGGACUGCUCUGGGAACUGUGCGGCUGGAGUGCAGGAGGGGCAGGCGGAAUUCCUGGUGUAGCGGUGAAAUGCGUAGAUAUCAGGAGGAACACCGGUGGCGAAGGCGGCCUGCUGGACUGCGACUGACGUUGAGGCCCGAAAGCGUGGGGAGCAAACAGGAUUAGAUACCCGUGUA
rnacentral:rRNA from 1 species